UUUUAGUACGUAGGCGCCAUGGAUGGCGAGUUGUGCAUGCUUCUACAAAGAACCAGCAGUAUCUUUUGAAGAUUU
rfam:Glossina fuscipes fuscipes unplaced genomic scaffold Scaffold680, whole genome shotgun sequence.